rnacentral:rRNA from 1 species
GGGGAAUUUUGGACAAUGGGCGCAAGCCUGAUCCAGCCAUGCCGCGUGUCUGAAGAAGGCCUUCGGGUUGUAAAGGACUUUUGUCAGGGAAGAGAAGGCUGUUGCUAAUAUCGACAGCUGAUGACGGUACCUGAAGAAUAAGCACCGGCUAACUACGUGCCAGCAGCCGCGGUAAUACGUAGGGUGCGAGCGUUAAUCGGAAUUACUGGGCGUAAAGCGAGCGCAGACGGUUACUUAAGCAGGAUGUGAAAUCCCCGGGCUCAACCUGGGAACUGCGUUCUGAACUGGGUGACUAGAGUGUGUCAGAGGGAGGUAGAAUUCCACGUGUAGCAGUGAAAUGCGUAGAGAUGUGGAGGAAUACCGAUGGCGAAGGCAGCCUCCUGGGAUAACACUGACGUUCAUGCUCGAAAGCGUGGGUAGCAAACAGGAUUAGAUACCCUGGUAGUCCACGCCCUAAACGAUGUCAAUUAGCUGUUGGGCAACUUGAUUGCUUAGUAGCGUAGCUAACGCGUGAAAUUGACCGCCUGGGGAGUACGGUCGCAAGAUUA